AUUUGGCGGGUGGGAGAUGGAUCUAGCAUUAAUAUUUGGAGGGAUAAUUGGUUACCCAGGAACACUGGACUUAAAAUUUCAGCUAAAAGGCACAAUACUAGAUUGAAGUGGGUCUCUGAUUUGUUCUUGAGUGGGAGAAAGGCAUGGGAUGAAAAUUUGAUCAAGUAUCUUUUCUAUCCCCAUGAUGUAGAGGAGGUUCUUAAGAUUCGUAUUCAUGCUUAUGGGGAUGGGGAUUUUAUUGCGUGGCACUAUGAGAAUAACGGUAUAUUUUCCGUUAAAAGUGCGUACAAUUUAGCACUUACGUUGAAGGAUAGUCAAGAUAAAUUGGGUCAAUCUAGUGGUGAUCCAUGCGGAGAAAGAAGACUCUGGAAUUUAAUUUGGAAGGCUAAUAUCCCUCGGAAGAUAAGAAUUUUUGCUUGGAGGGCCGCGACCGAUAGCUUGGCGGUCCAGACCAAUAGAGUUAAGCACCAUCAGAUUACUUCAGGUAUGUGCUCUAUUUGUGGAGUAGAAAAGGAAAGCACGUUUCAUGCCCUAGUUAUUUGUCCUAAGGCUCGUGCACUGUGA
rnacentral:rRNA from 1 species